CAUAAUCAUAAUUAAAAGACCACUGGGAAUGCUUUUAAAAUAAACCAAAAGAUGGUCUUUAAAGCAAGAAAAUGUGUAAAAUCAAGUUUCCUGGUAUUCAUUUAUUUUCUGUCUGUUGGCAGCCCACAUCAAACAUAGCAAACCUAUAAAAUAAUAGUGUAAUGAGGAACAAUUCACCCCGGCCUGUGACUCAUCUUAAAUCAAUACUAUUUCUCAUGAGAUUCCAACAAAGAGCUCGACAAGGAUUUCAUCAGGUUAAAAGUUUGUGAGUCAAUAAACCAGGCCGAUCAAAUCUCAAAAUGAAAAGUGUGUUUUGUUUUUCCGGAGAGAAGGCCCAGCAGCUGGGUCAGGAGUUUUCUCUCCCUGCAUGAUUAAUGGAGGCCCCGCCGCUUUUCAUAUCGCUGCAACCAGAAGCAGAGCGUCUCCAGAACUCGUCUGCUCGGCGUCGUGGGAACGGUGUCAGCCCGGCACCGUGAGGCGUCUCCCAUCACCUCCAAAACAAACAGCCAAGCGUUUUUCAGAAAUAGCCGCGAUGGCCAUUAAUCAAGGUCCCAGGCAGGUCCUGAACUCUCCAAACAUGGAAUCCACCUGAGAGACGGGGGUAGCUCAUGUGCGGCUGCAGAUCUGCAGGCCAGCGCACACACCGCUCACCUGUCCGUCACCGCAGCAUCUCGCAGGGAGGGACGAGCCAAAGCUUCUGCUGCUGGCUGCGAAAUGUUACUUAAAGGUGUCAUAAAAAUCUCCGACAGACUUUAUCAUUAAAAGGAAGAAGGUGCUUCCUCAACCAGGAAAGCAGGAGGCCUCAUUGUGAGAGGAGAAAAGAAGCAACUGUGUCCUCUUGUUCCUGACAAUGGGACUUCAAUUAAAGUCACAGUGGAGCGCAAGUUGA